rnacentral:rRNA from 1 species
CGGCACGGGUGAGUAACACGUAUGGAACCUGCCCUAUGCAGGGGGAUAAGCGGAAGAAAUUCCGUCUAAUACCGCAUAACACCUUUAGGAGACAUCUUCUUGGGGUCAAAGGAGGCGACUCCGGCAUAGGAUGGCCAUGCGUCGCAUUAGCUAGUCGGCGGGGUAACGGCCCACCGAGGCGACGAUGCGUAGGGGUUCUGAGAGGAAGGUCCCCCACACUGGUACUGAGACACGGACCAGACUCCUACGGAAGGCAGCAG